UAUAAUGAGCAGGGGAGAUAGAACACAAUCCACAGAUGUCUGGCAGAGUCACCUGCACCAUGUCCUGGGCUGUCCUAUUCAUCACCUCUGUCUUAUUCUGCACAUAUUGUGCUGCUCAGUACACUGUGACCCAGCCAGUCGCUCAAUCAGUCUCUCCCGGGAACACAGUGACAUUGUCUUGUACAGUUACUGGGUUCAGUAUAGGUGAUCGCGAUGUGCGCUGGUAUCAGCAGAAAACAGGGGACAGACCCCGAUAUCUGUUACGGUAUACCAGCGACAGUAACAUAAACCAAGGAGCUGGGGUCCCUGAUCGAUUCUCUGGAUCCAAAGACACCUCAAAGAACACAGGAUAUUUAACCAUAAAGUCAGUGUUGUUAGAGGAUGAUGCAGAUUAUUAUUGUGGUAUAUGGCAUCCUUCUAUUAGCGGUCUUGCGUAUAUCUUUGGAACAGGGACCACUCUGGCUGUCACAACCGGUGAAGUGAAGGCACCAGAUGUGUUUCUCUUUGGUCCAUCUAAAGAAGAGUUGGAGAAGGACACAGCCACCGUGGUCUGUACUGCUGGUGACUACAAGCCCCGGCCUGCAACAAUGGAGUUUCUGGUGGAUGGUCAAAACUGGACGAAUGGAGUCUACACAUCACUAGUCACCAAACAGGGGGACAACUCAUACACAGGAAGCAGUUAUCUCACCAUGACCUCCUCUGAUUAUAGUAAACAUAAGGAAGUCUCCUGCAAAGUGACACAUCAAGGCAAAGAGUUUAUCCAAACACUGAAGAGAUCAGAGUGUUUCUAAUAUUCAGUCAUCUGCUUUUUCUAUUGGCC